GAUGAAGAACGUAGUGAAAUGCGAUAAGUAAUGUGAAUUGCGGAAUUCCGUGAAUCAUCGAAUCUUUGAACGCACAUUGCGCCCCCUGGUAUUCCGGGGGGCAUGCCUGUCCGAGCGUCAUUGCAACCUUCAAGCGCGGCUUGUGUGUUGGGUCUCGUCCCCCGUGGACGGGCCCGAAAGGCAGUGGCGGCGUCCCGACAUGGUGCCCGAGCGUAUGGGAAUCCUCUUCCGCUCGAAUCGGCCCAUGCGGCGCUGGUCGUAACCAAAUUUUUUACCGGUUGACCUCGGAUCAGGUAGGGAUACCCGCUGAACUUAAGCAUAUCAAUAAGCGGAGGA
rnacentral:misc_RNA from 1 species